UACGGAAGGGGCAAGCGUUGUUCGGAAUUAUUGGGCGUAAAGGGCGCGCAGGCGGUCUCAUAUGUCUGCUGUGAAAUCACACGGCUCAACCGUGUUCAGCCGCAGAAACUGUGGGACUUGAGGCUGGGAGGGGCUGGUGGAAUUCCCCGUGUAGCGGUGAAAUGCGUAGAGAUGGGGGAGAACACUCGUGGCGAAGGCGGCCAGCUGGACCAGUUCUGACGCUGAGGCGCGAAAGCGUGGGGAGCAAACAGG
rnacentral:misc_RNA from 1 species